rnacentral:rRNA from 1 species
GUGCCAGCAGCCGCGGUAAUACCAGCUGCACAAGUGUAUAUUAAAGUUGUUGCAGUUAAAAAGCUCGUAGUUGGAUAUCUGUCUUGACUGACCUAGCCCUAGGUCCUUCGGGAUUCUGGAGUGCUGGUUGUAGUGAUUGACCUAUUUCGGUAGUGUUGUCACUCGUCAUGUCAGACAUACUUCAGGAAAUCUAUCCUGCCUUUAAUUAGGUUGGGUAAGGAUCCUGAUCGUUUACUUCGAAAAAAUUAGAGUGUUUAACGCAGGCAUUAUCGUCGCGAAUAUAUUAGCAUGGAAUAAUAAGAUAGGACUUCGGCAUCGUUAGUGGGUGCCUCUUUGUGUGGCUUGCUCGUGCUCUUCGGAGUGCGUUGCUUGUUGCGUGAGUUGGBUCAACGCUCGCUAGCCGUUCUA